rnacentral:rRNA from 1 species
AGAGUUUGAUUCCUGGCUCAGAUUGAACGCUGGCGGCAGGCCUAACACAUGCAAGUCGAGCGCGCCCUUCGGGGUGAGCGGCGGACGGGUUAGUAACGCGUGGGAAUAUACCCGACACUAAGGAAUAGCCUCUGGAAACGGAGAGUAAUACCUUAUACGCCCUUCGGGGGAAAGAUUUAUCGGUGACGGAUUAGCCCGCGUUAGAUUAGAUAGUUGGUGGGGUAAUGGCCUACCAAGUCUACGAUCUAUAGCUGGUUUUAGAGGAUGAUCAGCAACACUGGGACUGAGACACGGCCCAGACUCCUACGGGAGGCAGCAGUGGGGAAUCUUGGACAAUGGGCGCAAGCCUGAUCCAGCCAUGCCGCGUGAGUGAUGAAGGCCUUAGGGUCGUAAAGCUCUUUCGCCAGAGAUGAUAAUGACAGUAUCUGGUAAAGAAACCCCGGCUAACUCCGUGCCAGCAGCCGCGGUAAUACGGAGGGGGUUAGCGUUGUUCGGAAUUACUGGGCGUAAAGCGCGCGUAGGCGGAUUAGUCAGUUAGAGGUGAAAUCCCGGGGCUCAACCCCGGAACUGCCUUUAAUACUGCAAGUCUUGAGUUCGAGAGAGGUGAGUGGAAUUCCGAGUGUAGAGGUGAAAUUCGUAGAUAUUCGGAGGAACACCAGUGGCGAAGGCGGCUCACUGGCUCGAUACUGACGCUGAGGUGCGAAAGUGUGGGGAGCAAACAGGAUUAGAUACCCUGGUAGUCCACACCGUAAACGAUGAAUGCCAGUCGUCGGGUAGCAUGCUAUUCGGUGACACACCUAACGGAUUAAGCAUUCCGCCUGGGGAGUACGGUCGCAAGAUUAAAACUCAAAGGAAUUGACGGGGGCCCGCACAAGCGGUGGAGCAUGUGGGUUUAAUUCGAAGCAACGCGCAGAACCUUACCAACCCUUGAGAUCCUCCGGACCGCCCCAAAAGAAUUGGCUUUCUCUUUCGGUGACCGAAAUGACAAGGUGCUUCCAUGGCUG